UAUUUCAGACCACUGCAAAAUUAACUGGAUAGUAGAAAGGGGAGUCUCCAAACAUCUUCCAACCUCUUAGUUGCAUGUACCCAGAAAUAAGCAAUUGUACCCGCUUUCCUAGGAUAUAAAAAAAGCUCUGAUCUGACUGGGAACAGGCAGAGGAGGAUAGGAGAUCAAAAGGUUGUCUCGGGCAGAGUUUAGAAGACACGAAAAAGAACAGAGAGGAGAGACAACGUUUCUUUAGCCUUAUUACCAGCCCCCAUUGCUUGCUACCCACAAAGUGCAGAGAAUGAAGGUUCUCUCCUUCACCCCUAACUUGACUACAAGCUGAGACUGGUCUCCGGAAUUGAAGUUCAGCCAGGAACUCAUCCCCCGGGAGUCUCUGUGUUUGCCACUGUAUUCCCUUGCUACCCAUUGCUAGGUUUCAUGCCUCAUGGGGGAGUCUUCUCGAGCAGGAUUAAAAGAGAAAGAAGAAAAAGAAAAAAAAAAAAAAACUGAUUGUUUUCUGGUGGUUAAACAUUGUUACCUUAACUGGAAAUGAGAAAUUUGCUCAACUGGGUUUUUAAUUACUAGUAACAAAACAUAAUGGCUGCAAAUCUGCUUCCUGAAGAGUUUGGAAGUUCUGUUUAUAGAUUUGAAGGUCGUCUUUGUCCUAUAAAGAAGGGAACGUGAUGGGCUCUUUUCUUGAUAAAUAAAGUAAUCUAGGGACCAGAGCUAA